GGUGUUUUAAGAGUUUAAGUAUUGGGCUAAAAAAAAAUUUUGAUUUACACAUAUUCGGUUGAAUUCUAGAUUGCUGUUGAUCUGUUUUGAAUUACAACUCUGGGAUCAUAGAGUUGAAUUAUAUGCUUAAUAUUUGUGUGGUUAUGUGCUCCUUAUAGUCUAGUUUAUGUGCGCGAAAGAACCGAAUCGAUUCGAUUAGCGAGCUAGGAGAUAUGACCGUUUUAGUAUAGUAUGGUGCUGAAAAUUCUGGGCAGGUUUGUCCUGUUCCAGGCUCUGUUUUACAGCUUUAAACUUGGAUUUUCUUUCUGAAAAUUUUACUGUAGGUUGGAAUAAUAUUUAGGAGUGUCUCAUAAAAAUUUCGUAUUAAAAAGAUAAAUUUUCAAUUUAUUAAAAAUCAUAGACCGAGGGCUGUUUGAACUAUUUGUUCUAUUUUUCUUUCUUUGCUAGUGCAUAGUAUGAGGUUAUACUUGACUAGUUGCAUAUGAUUGAUUAUUACAUUGAUUGGCUCGGUUAACCUUGUAUAUCUAAUUAAAAGUGUUUUGCGUAUAACAAGUUAGCAAUCCUGCUAAAAGAUUUUAUUAUAUGUUUACUACAAGUCAAGACAGAUUUUCUUAUGUGUUUACUGCAAGUCAAGGGAUCUUUUUAUAUUAAUAAUUCAUGUGUUAGCAAUAGUAUUGGUUGGUUGUUGGCAUUGCAAACAGGUGGAUAAGCUUAUAAACAGAGGAGAUGCUGCCGAAUUUUCGUUAGAAAUUAUAUGGAUUUAAUGCCUAUAAAAAGGGUUGUUUGUACAACUAUGUGCUAUGUGUUUAUGUGACUGUGGUACGUAUAUGCGAAGGGUAGAUAUAUAUAUAGGUCUUAAUGCAAUUCAGGGUUAGUCAAUAUGUCUAAUCCGACGACUGAAAUACUAUUUUAUCAUCGUAUAGAAUUGAAGACAUUGACCGAGGCAUUAAUCGAGAAGUGAUUGAAAGGGGUAUUCAGAAAUAGCCAAGCAGAAUGUUACAAGUUGAAGUAGGACGGAGAUUUGUUAUAGAUAAAAGUGUGUCAGAAGCUGGCAGAAAGGAAUGAUUAUGCUGUAUAUAGUGUUACUAGGAAUCUGAGCUAAACUUUGGAGUUAAGCUAGGAAUAAAGAUGAUUCACUUAAGACUAGGCAAGGAUUGCAAGUGGUUGAGUUUCAAGCAGAUGGACAGAAUUGAAGACAUUGACCGAGGCAUUAAUCGAGAAGUGAUUGAAAGGGGUAUUCAGAAAUAGCCAAGCAGAAUGUUACAAGUUGAAGUAGGACGGAGAUUUGUUAUAGAUAAAAGUGUGUCAGAAGCUGGCAGAAAGGAAUGAUUAUGCUGUAUAUAGUGUUACUAGGAAUCUGAGCUAAACUUUGGAGUUAAGCUAGGAAUAAAGAUGAUUCACUUAAGACUAGGCAAGGAUUGCAAGUGGUUGAGUUUCAAGCAGAUGGACAGGUAGAGUAUUUAGGAUGGUGUCAUUAAGACUAGAUGCAGUUGGAGUUCUGCAAUUCAAUUCAGUUGGAAAUUAGAUUUGUUUAUUUGGUUAUCAGCUACUCUUCUUAUCGAGGUUUAGCUGAUAAUGUUGUUUAAUUUGUAAAUAAGAUUUUAUAGUUUUAGUUUCUGAUUUCAAUGCUGUAGCCUGUAUGCGAUCCUGUUUUCAGGGGGUGAAAUUGAUUUUGAAUUAAAGACCUU